CUCAACUCUAAACCUUAACCAUCAAUCCUAAACCCUUUUUUUUAAAUACGAACCCUAAACCCUAAACCAUCAAUCCUAAACCUUAUUUUUUUUUUAAAUACAAACCCUAAACUCCGAAACAUCAACUCUAAACCCUAAACCCCGAAACAUCAACUCUAAACUCUAAACCCUAAACCUUCAACUCUAAACCCUAAAACAUCAACUCUAAACCCUAAACUUCAACUCUAAACCCUAAACCAUCAACACUAAACCCUAAAAUAUCAUUACUAAACCCUAAACCCUAAAAAGUAAACUCUAAACCCUAAACCCUAAAAAAUUAACCCUAAACCCUAAAACAUUAACUCUAAACCUAAACCCUAAAAAGUAAACUCUAAACUCUAAACCCUAAAAAAUUUAACCCUAAACCCUAAAACAUCAGCUCUAAACCCUAAGCCAUAAACCUUCAACUCUAAAACCUAAACUCUAAACCCUAAAUCCUAAACCCUAAUCCCUAAACCCUAAAACCCUAGAGUUGAUGUUUUAGGGUUUAGAUUUGAAGGUUUAGGGUAUUAGGGUUUAGGGUUUAUGUUUAGGGUUUAGGGUUGAUGUUUUUGGGUUUAGAUUUGAAGGUUUAGGGUUUUAGGGUUAGGGUUCGAAUUUCAGAAAAAUAUAGGGUUUAGGGUUUACGUUUAGUGUUUAGAGUUGAUGUUUUAGGGUUUAGAUUAGAAGGUUUAGAGUUUAUGUUUCGGGGUUUAGGGUUUAGAAUUGAUGUUUCAGGGUUUAGGGUUUAGAGUUGAUGUUUCGGGGUUUAGGGUUUAGAGUUGAUGAUUUAAGGUUUAAAUUGAUAUUUUAAGUUUAGAUUUAGGGUUUAGGGUUUACCUUUAGGGUUUAGAGUUGAUAUUUUAGGGUUUAGAUUUGAAGGUUUAGGGUUUAGGGUUUAGAGUUGAUGUUUCGGGGUUUAGGGUUUAGAAUUGAUGUUUCGGGGUUUAGGGGUUUAGUUUUGAUGAUUUAAAGUUUUUCAUGUUUUAAGUUUAGAUUAGUUAACCGUAUGUUUUUUUUUUCAAACUUAAUCAAAAGGUUAAAAAUGUCUUUUACCCUUCAUCAAAGAUAAGAUGAAGGUAAAAGUUGUUAGUGUAAACAUGAAAACUGGUACUUUGAAAAUUGUAUUUUUGGCAAUUUUCCAAAUAAAAUUUGAAUACAUAAAUACUUAAAAGUUAUUAAAAUGUUGAAUGUUAGAUAUUGAGAUAGAUAUCUUUUAAUGGAUUAUUGGUUGUUGUGUUUUAAUAGAUUUGAAAAUCCGAACUAAAUCUAGUGUUAUUGGUUCUGUGAUUUUAAAAUCCGUAUUAAAUCAUAUGUUAUUGGUUUAAUGAUUCAUAAAUUCUAUACUAAAUCAGUGUUAUUCAAUCGUACAGAUUUACUAAUACAUUUUAUUUUAUAAUGGAUUUGAAUAGAUUUGUUUGGAUUUUUUAGUUAAAAAUACAAAGACUCAAAUCCGAGAGAAAACCUCUGGAUUUCCAUAUUUUACUUGGAUUUAUAAAUAUUAUAUGGAUUUCUAAAUCAAUCAAAAUAUAUAAACCAAUAACACCUCGUGUUGAGACUUGAGAUGUUCUAAUAUAGCCUUUAUUGAUUUAGAAUUAUAAUAUAACUAAUAUAACCUUUAUAUAGCUUGCUUUUUAUUAAAAAGAAAACUGUUUUCUUUAAUUAUUAUUCAAGGCUUUCAGGAAAAUUAUUGGUAUCAUCCCAUGGGAAAUUACAUGUUUACCACUUUUAUGCGACAACUUUUCAUUUUUACCACCACUAAAAUGACAUUUUCAAAAAUACCUUCUUCAUUAAUUGGCAAAAGACUCUUAUGCCAUUAUUCUUUAUAUAUAUAAUAAAUAAAUAUUUCAAUAAAUAAAAAUUCAAAAAACUAAAAAUAAUUUUUUUUAAGUUUUUUUCGAAUUAUACUAUUUCGAAAUUUAAACCCUAAACUCGAAAACUCAACUCUAAACCCUAAACCAUCAAUCUUAAACCCUUUUUUUUUAAAUACGAACCCUAAACCCUGAAACAUGAACUCUAAACCCUAAACCCCGAAACAUCAACUCUAAACCCUAAACCCUAAACCUUCAUCUCUAAACCCUAAAACAUCAACUUUAAACCCUAAACCCUAAACUUCAACUCUAAACCCUAAACCAUCAACACUAAACCCUAAACUAUCAACACUAAACCCUAAACCCUAAAAGUAAACCCUAAACCCUAAACCCUAAAAAAUUAAACCUAAGCCCUAAAACAUCAACUCUAAACCCUAAAACCUAAACAUUCAACUCUAAACCCUAAACCCUACAUCCUAUAUCCUAAACCCUAUAUCCUAAACCCUAAGUUGAUGUUUUAGGGUUUAGAUUUGAAGGUGUAGGGUUUUAGGGUUUAGGGUUUAUGUUUAGGGUUUAGAGUUGAUGUUUUAGGGUUUAGAUUUGAAGGUUUAAGGUUUUAGGGUUUAGGUUCGAAUUUCAGAAAAAUAUAGGGUUUAGGGCUUAUGUUUAGGGUUUAUAGUUGAUGUUUUAGGGUUUAUAGUUGAUGUUUUAGGGUUUAGGGUUUAGAGUUGAUGUUUCGGGGUUUUGGAUUUUGAGUUGAUGUUUCAUGGUUUAGGGUUUAGGGUUUAGAGUUGAUGAUCUAGGGUUUAAAAUUGAUGUUUUAAGUUCAGAUUUAGAGUUUAGGGUUUACGUUUAGGGUUUAGAGUUGAUGUUUUAGGGUUUAGAUAUGAAGGUUUAGGGUUUAGAGUUGAUGUUUCGGGGUUUAGAGUUGAUGUUUUAGGGUUUAGAUUUGAAGGUUUAGGGUUUAGAGUUGAUGUUUCGGGGUUUAGAGUUGAUGUUUCGGGGUUUAGAGUUUAGAGUUGAUGUUUUAGGAUUUAGAGUUGAUGUUUUAAGUUUAGAUUAGUUAACAAUAUGUGUUUUUUGUCAAACUUAAUUUAAAGGUUAUAAAUGUCUUUUACCCUUCAUUAAAGAUGAAGGUAAAAAUGAUUAGUGUAAACAUGAAAAGUGGUACUUUGACAGAAAAAUAUAGGGUUUAGGGCUUAUGUUUAGGGUUUAUAGUUGAUGUUUUAGGGUUUAUAGUUGAUGUUUUAGGGUUUAGGGUUUAGAGUUGAUGUUUCGGGGUUUUGGAUUUUGAGUUGAUGUUUCAUGGUUUAGGGUUUAGGGUUUAGAGUUGAUGAUCUAGGGUUUAAAAUUGAUGUUUUAAGUUCAGAUUUAGAGUUUAGGGUUUACGUUUAGGGUUUAGAGUUGAUGUUUUAGGGUUUAGAUAUGAAGGUUUAGGGUUUAGAGUUGAUGUUUCGGGGUUUAGAGUUGAUGUUUUAGGGUUUAGAUUUGAAGGUUUAGGGUUUAGAGUUGAUGUUUCGGGGUUUAGAGUUGAUGUUUCGGGGUUUAGAGUUUAGAGUUGAUGUUUUAGGAUUUAGAGUUGAUGUUUUAAGUUUAGAUUAGUUAACAAUAUGUGUUUUUUGUCAAACUUAAUUUAAAGGUUAUAAAUGUCUUUUACCCUUCAUUAAAGAUGAAGGUAAAAAUGAUUAGUGUAAACAUGAAAAGUGGUACUUUGAAAAUGAUAUUUUUAGCAAUUUCUCAAAAAUCACAAGGGGACAAUUGAGUUUUUCUAAGACAUUCUAUAUCAUCUAGCUUCAAACUAGGCUAUAUUUUAACAAUAUGGUAUAAUAGCACAAUUACGGUUCGUUAGAGGAUGGCACGGGAAUGGAGUGCAAGCCAAGAGAAGACCAUAAAAGCGACACCAAAAAGGCACCCUACGCCUAUUGUACCUGAGAACUGUUCUAUACUCCGCACGGAUGCGGCGUGGAGAGCGACAAAUCAACAGGCAUGACUGGGUUGGAUCAUCAAACAUCAGAUGAGCACUAGAUCGGGCUCGUUGGCGGUUUCGUCAGUAGGAUCAGCGCUCUCAGCAGAAGGGAUGGCAAUGAGAGAAGCACUAUCUGAGUGUAGACGAUCGAGGAUAAUAAGAUUAGUCUGCGAAUCUGACUCUACCCAAUUGGUUAAAGCGCUCACUGGCAAGGAGGUUCCCUUGGAGCUAUAUGGGAUUGUGGCCGACAUUGUUGAGCAUGGUUGUCAUUUUGAACGUAUUUCUUUUCGAUGGAUCUCUAGAGAGAAAAACUCUGAAGCUGAUGCAUUAGCAAAACAGAGUCUUGUAGAUGGUGAGGUCUUAAUGGCUAUCACCUAACUUUAAGUUGGCAUUAAUAUAAGUUGUGUUUCCAAAAAAAAAAGAUACCAUUUUCUAGAUAAUAUUGUUGGCUAGUAGUUGAAAUAAAAAAAGAUAUGUACUUAUUUUAGCAAAAGAAGAAAGAUAUGUCAAAAAAAAGAAAAAGAAAGAUAUGUACUUGUUUUUUUGUAAAAACAAAUGUACUUGUUUUUUUGUAAAAACAAAUGUACUUGUUUGACAAAAGAAAUGUACAUUACCUCAAAACCAAAUGCAUUAAAAAAGAUUUGUAUAAAAUUGAAACGUUACGCAUGUAUUGUAGUAGUUUUUUUUUUAAAUUAGUAUUCAUGUAAGAUCCAUAUUCAUUACUUUAAAUAAAUGGUUUUUUUUAUCGGCGAAGUUUUUUAAGAUAAUGUCACUUGAGGACUAAUCAAUCAUAUUUGUUAACUCACUCGAGUGACCAAUGUUAGUUAGCCAACUUUGAAAGUAAUUUAGAAAUUAAAAUCCCUUUUUGACAAAUAAGAAAUAAAGAAAUAUUAAUGAUUAAAGACUGUCAGCUUUCUACUAUUUGUUUGCUAAAAGAUAUAAAAAAUGUGAUCAUUUUCGUUGGGUUUGAACGCAAGUUUGCACAUAAAAUUAGAAAAGAAGAAUACAAACCGGCAUGCCAACUUGACUUUUGUCAGCUUUCUACUUUGCAGACAUAAAAAUCAUUCCGACUUAAUCCCAACACAUUCUUAUACAAAACCUUUUUCUUUCUUAUAUUUUUACUGUAUAUGUAUCUUAUAGAAUUUGUGGUUCAUUUUUAAGUUACCUUGUGCACCAAGGUUUCGCAUGCUUAGCAAUUUUCAGUGAAUUAUAAGAUCUAUCUAAAUAAAUUUUCAUAAUACACACCAAAUUCAGAAUUAAAAACCUCUACAAUAAUCUAGAGAAUUUGAAUGGUUUGAAGAAAGAAAAGAGAGAUUAUCGGACUCUUAUGAACUCAAUGAUUGACCGACGGUGAGGAAAUAAAAAACUAGAGCAUCUGAUACUAUCUUGUACUUAAAGAUAUCUAAUACUUUAGCUUUCUCUUACUGUACUAUUUAGUAUCCCUUGGUUCUCUUUAAAAUAUAAAUUAUUAUAAACUAAUAAAUACAUAAAAUAAAUUUUAAUGUUAAAACAGUUUAUUUAUUUAAUAGACUUUUUUUUAAAAAAUGUAGAGAGUAAUUUUACACUGACUUACAGAGAUACUGAUGUAUAACACAUGAUUAAAAUUAAUGUAGAUGCAUACCAAAUUUUUAAAAGAAAGAAGGAGAUCUUAAAUGGAAUUUUUGGUUUGCGUAUUUAGUAAAUUUAGAAAUUCAAACGGUAUUUAGUGUUGUUCGUUUUAUGAUUUUUUGUUUUAAAAUAAUGUAGGAUUUCUUUUGUGGUUUAUAAAUUCUAGUUGAAAUCAUGUAUAUUAUUCAAUCAUAAAAAAUUACUUAAAAGGUAUAAUAGAUUUUAGUGUUUUUAAAUAAUUUUUUUAUUAAAAUAAGACCUAAAUCUGAGAGAAAAUGUUCCAAAAUUUGUAAAUAUUAAUUCACAGGGUUGAUUUGGCUAUCAGUAUAUUUGUAUGAAUUUGUAAAUUUUAUAUGAACAUUUUAAAUUUAAUAAAAUAUAUAAAUGAAUAAACAAUGGAUAUGAAAUUUUUUAUAUAAAUAUAGUCUAUAUGAAUUGCAAAUGAUAUGCAAUUUUCUCAAAGAUUAUUGGAGGUAAAAGACACAUGGUAAUGUAAGAUGAAGACGAAAAGAUAAAUACUUCAAAUGUAGACCACACAAUUACUAGCAACAAACAAAAAUGUUCCUUUUGCAACUUUCUUCUAUAUGUAAACAUAAAUCUAAAGACUCUCUUCUUUGUGAAAUGAUACUUUGUUAAUCACAACCACACGAUUAACUAUAACGAACCGUUCAAAGUUGUCAAAUUGUCAAUAUCAAUUAGACCUUACUUAUUUAUCUUGGCUUAACUUAAACUAAACCAUUAUCAAUCUAGGGGAAAAAAUGAUCAAACUGGGAAAAUUUUUUGUCACAGGAACUAAACAGUGUGUGUUUUUAGUUAAGUGUAGUGUUACUUAUUUGAUCCCUCUUUUUACAAACAUCAAAAUUUUAUUAUCUUCUUCUAGGACAGACUAAAAUACUGGGAUCGAAAGAACUUAACCAAAUCCGAUCUGAAAAAAUUGUAAACCAAAAAUUGUAAUCUUUAAAAAAAAAAUCAGGGCCUUAAAUCUUUAGGGGGUGUUAUUGGUUUAUGUAUUUUAAUGGAUUGGAAAAUCCAAACCAAAUACAGUGUUAUUGGUUUUAUGAUUUUAAAAUCUAUAUUCAAAUAUAGAGUUAUUGGUUUUAUGAUUUUAAAAUAAAUUUCAAAAUCUAGUGUUAUUCAAAAACAAAGAUUUAUUUAAGGAUUUGAUUUGAAAUUGGAUUUGAGUGGAUUUAUCCAUGUUUUUAGAGUAAAAAUAUAAAGAAGCAAAUAUUGAGUUCAACCUUGUUAUUUUGAUUGGAUUUGUAAUAUUUUUUUCCACUUCUUUACAUUUGGACAAGUUUUCACGUACAUAAUACGUUUUCUAUUUGUCAACCCCGUCAAUAUCCCUAAACCUAUGUAUUCAGUCAAUAUAUUAUUAUCGCGUUCAUCAUUACCUUCUACUCUCUGAGUAACAAAUGAAUUCUCAACUUGUUCAAUUUAUUAUAAUCACCGGUAAUAGUUCAAAGUUUUGAGUUAUAUUCUCUUGUAUGUAAUUAACUAGCUUUGGACCUUCCUAAAUGUUACCUUGUCACUUUCCAACACUAAGCAACAAAAAUUAGUAUAUUCGAACAAUUUCUCUGUUCCAAAACAUUUUCCCUCAUGAACUAGUAAGGUCAUUAUUUAGGUCUAGUUACAAUUCACCUAUUUUGAAUUAUUAAAAUACAUCAAAGUCUCGUCCCACUUAAUUGUAAUAACUCGUUGCUUAGUCGAUUGGAUCCACUUUAUUAAUCUAUUUUAUUGAUUCAAUCUAGUUACUUGCUCGAUUGAAUCCAUUUUAUAGAUUUAUAACAAUUCACCAUUUUUGAUUUUGAAACUCAUAUAAAUUAUUCCUAAAUCCACUUGUUGAUUUUUAAAAUCUUGGAUUUACCAAAGAUUUUUAAAUCUAUUGAAAAUCCAUUAAAAUACUAAAACCAAUAACCCCUACUUAAUGCUUAAACUCUUUUUUGGACAUUUAAUUUUUUUCAAAAAAAAUGUCUUAGCCAAAAUACUUUGUUAACUCAAAAAAUAAUUAUAGAUUUUUCUGUAAUCUUUUUUUUUUUUAAGUUCAAGUUUUUUUAACUAAUUGUUUUUAACAACUAUCUUUAGAAAAAAAAAAUUAAAAUGUGUUUGGAUGAUGAGAAAUUGCCAAAAAUAUCAUUUUCAAAGUACUACUUUUCAUGUUUACACUAACCACUUUUACCCUCAUCUUUAAUGAAGGGUAAAAGACAUUUAUAACCUUUUGAUUAAUUUUGACAAAAAAAAAAAUAUGGUUAACGUAUCUAAACUUAAAACAUCAACUCUAAACCCUAAAUCAUCAACUCUAAACCAUGAAACAUCAACUCUAAACUCUAAACUCUAAACCCUAAACCCUAACCCCAAAACCUUCAAAUCUAAACCCUAAAACAUCAACUCUAAACUCUAAACGUAAACCUUAAACCCUAAAUUUAAACUUAGAAUAUCAACUUUAAACCCUAAAUCAUCAACUCUAAACACUAAAUCAUCAACUCUAAACUCUAAACCCUAAACCCUAAACCCUAAACCUUCAAAUCUAAACCCUAAAACAUCAACUCUAAACCUUAAACGUAAACCUUAAACCCUAAAUCUAAACUUAAAACAUCAACUUUAAACCCUAAAUCAUCAACUCUAAACACUAAACCAUGAAACAUCAACUCUAAACCCUAAAGCGCGAAAUAUCAACUCUAAACCCUAAACCCUAAACCUUCAAAUCUAAACCCUAAAACAUCAACUCUAAACCCUAAAUAUAAACCCUAAACCCUAAAACCUAUAUUUUUCUGAAAAUCGAACCCUAAACCCUAAAACCCUAAACCUUCAAAUCAAAACCCUAAAACAUCAACUUUAAACCCUAAACAUAAACCUUAAACCCUAAACCCCUAAACCUUCAAAUUUAAACCCUAAAACAUCAACUCUAGGGUUUUAUGGUUUAGGGUUUAGGAUUUAGGGUUUAGGGUUUAGGGUUUAGAGUUAAAGGUUUAGGGUUAGAGUUGAUGUUUUAGGGUUCAGGGUUAAUUUUUUAGGGUUUAGGGUUUAGAGUUUACUUUUUAGGGUUUAGGGUUUAGUGUUGAUAGUUUACGGUUUAGUGUUGAUGGUUUAGGGUUUAGAUUUGAAGGUUUAUGGUUUAGGGUUUAGAGUUGAUAUUUUAGGGUUUAGAGUUGAAGGUUUAGGGUUUAGGGUUUAGGGUUUAGAGCUGCUGUUUCGGGGUUUAGGGUUUAGAGUUGAUGUAUUUAAUGAAGAAGAUAUUUUUAAAAAUGUCCAUUUAAUGGUGGUUAAAAUGAAAAAUGAUAGUACGAAAGUGGUAAACAAGUAAUGUCUCCGUGAUUUUUAGUAAAUUAAGCUAUGUAAACUUAACGAGAAUAAAAGAAAAGAAAAUCUUUACACGCACGUUAUUGCUUUUUUUUUUUACUGUAGUGGAGUUGGCAAAGUAGCCAGAGAGUGUUUUGUGUGUGAGGGAAAGAUCAAAGAUGAGUUUUGCUAAAUGACAUUUUCUGAUAUCCACAUCUUUUAAUUAAUAUUUACAAAUCCGAAAUUUUCUCUCAGAUUUAAUUCUCAUUUUAAUAAAGAUUACUUCUAAAUACAAUACAUAAAUUAUGAAGUUAUUUCUGUAUGACUGAAUAAUAUAUGAUUUGAAUUGGAAUUUAUAAUCACAAAAUAGAAACACAUUAUUUUAAAAUAAAUUUUAAAAUCAUAAAAAGAACAGUACUAAGUUUUGUUUGAAUUUUAAAAUCUAUUAAUAUACGCAAACCAAAAAUUUCAGUUAAGAUCUUCAUCUUCUUUUUUUUAAUAGAAUUUUCUAUGUAUCUAAUAUUAAUCUAAUUUUAGUAAUGUGAUAUACAUCAGUAUAAUCAAAUACCUAAGCCAAACAUUUAUAUCCAUUAAUAUCUAAUCUUAUAUAUUAAAACAGAAGUCACAACUUUGAUUCAUUUGUGAUUUUUUAAAAAAUAGACCUAAUAGACAUAUUCCUAAAAAAAUCAUGUUACAUUUAAUCUCUAAUCUUAUCAUUUAAAUUUUAGACCUACCAGAAAUUUUUAUUGGGCUAUCAAUAAUUGGAUUUAAACAAUAGAUGCUCCGUUGGAUUUAUGGUAUAAAUUAAAUAGAUAUAAUUUAAUGUUGUAAUACUAUACCUCCAUAUGUUAAUUAUUUAAAUAUUUGUCGAUAUUAAUUUUUAAAAUUAUAAAGAUUCAUUUUUAAAUAAAAAAACAUCAUAUUAUCUAACAAUGAUUAAUAUUUACUACAUUAAACCAAUGAAAACAAAUUUAAAACUAUAUAGUUUAUUUUAAAAAUUAAACAAAAACUAAAUGUUUAAUUAUUUACUCGAUAAUAUAAAUCAAUGAAACGAAAAGUUUAAUUUUUAGAAAACUUUCUAAAUUUGUGAAAUGUUAUAAUAUCUUUGAAUAUGACAAUAAAAAAAUAUUUUACUAAUCUUUAUAUAUAUAGUUACGAUUUUAAUAAUGAAAAAAUAAUCUAAAAAUAUAUAUAUAUAAAAAAUAUACAAAUACAUGUGAAAGUUUGAAAAAAUUUAUUCAAUGAAAAAAAAUAUACCGUAAACUUAUUAUGUUUUAAAAAUUGAUAUACACAUAUAUAUUAUAAUAUAUACCAAUUUAGAAUUGAAAAACAAAUUAUAUAAAAAUAAUUGAAACAAAAACCUGUGCGGUUGCGCGAAUCGAGAUCUAGUAUUAUCUAAAAGUGAAUUACCCUAAUAUAUUUUGUAUCUAAAAUAAUUUAAACUAUCUGAACAACCUUGAUAUUUGUUUUUAACAACUAUAUUUAUUUAUUCAUAAAAUGUGAAAUUACAUAAACUCCAAAGAGAAACAAGAAAACAAUGAAAUACAUAAUUAAUAUAAAGGAACAACAAUACAUAUAAAAAUAUCAAGUUGUUAAAAUAUCGUAAGAGAUCGAGUGUGAAUAAUCAGAAGAAAACUGACAGAGUUGUUAUAAAAGUAAUGGAAAACUCUAUCUUUAUUCAUAACAUAGAUGUUUCUUAUAUAGAAGAUUAUACCGUCAUAGAUAAAUGGAAAUAUUACAAAUCAUAAUCUCUUGGUUAUGAGCCAUCCACAAUCUGGUUCAUAACACUCCCUUUUGGAUGCCAUAACCAAUUAGAGUUGGUAAUGUGCUUUAAUGUUGCCUCAUUAAAACCUCACCAGGAAAACCCAAUUGGGACAAAACCAUGGUGAAGGAAAAAUAAUAUAACACACAUUACUCCCCCUGAUUUGGACAUUACUGAAGGUCCCUUGGACCUCUCCAAUUUUCUGCAAUCCGUGGGUGAUGAAGAUCUUGGGCAGAAUAUGCUUCGUUCUCGAACAUGAUAGUUGGUUCUUCUUUACCAUCAGCCAUGCCACAAUCUGAUCGAACAUAUUGAGUCAUCGACCUCAAAUACACACACGAAAUCUUGGAUGAUGUUGUUGUGAUAUGCGUGUACCACCAUGUGUGAAACAUAACCUGUCUGAAAACAAAUCAACAAAACCAAAUAACCCCUCUUUGGGCUGGUUAUUAUAAAAUAAACCAAAAUCAAAGGUUUCUUCAUCGUCCUUCUUAUGGACCAAUCAGAUCAGUGUCUAAAACAAGACUUCUGCAUCGUCCAUCUCAGGACUAAAUGGACUUCUUUAUCGUCCACCUUUGGACUGAAUGGAUCAGUGUCCAAAACAAGUGAUCUCACGCCCAUGUACUAGAUAAUGGGUGAGACUGGUCCAUAUUAAAUCUCUUGAGUACCCUUUUCUGUAUAUACUAUUUGAUGCACAAGGAUUUCAUUGUUAAUGUACUCAAGCUGUAAUCCCAAACAAAACUUUGUUUUCCAAGAUCUUUCAUCUCAAACUCUUUCUUGAGAUAUUCAACUGUUUGGGAAAUUGUAUCCAGAGGUUCCUAGGAUAUUCAGAUCAUAUACUUUGAUGAUUAUCAAUAUUGUUCUCGAGAACUUGCUGUACUUUCAGCUCAAUACCCUCUAGUACUUUCAUUAUCCAGUGGACCAUAUAAAUAUGCAGUCACUACAUCAACUUGUUGCAAGUCUAAUUUUCUCUCUUAUAUAGCCAGACUUAUGAGAAAUCUAAAAGUAGUUGCAUCCACCACAUGGGAGUAUGUCUCCUCAUAAUCUAUUACUGGUCUUUGUGAGAAUCCUUGUGCAACAUCAGCUUUAUAUCUCACGAUUUCUAUUCCUCACAAGACCCAUUUAUAUCCACUGGUUUUAACAUCAUAUGGCGUCUUAAUCAUAUGGCCAAAUACGCCUUUCUUCUUUAAACUAUUUAACCCCACGUUUCCAUUCAAUCCAAUCUGUUCUACGAGUGCGCACUCUUAUAUUGACGUGGGUUCAUGAUCCUCGCUUAUAUUCAUAAAUUCAAGUGCUACCUUGUAUGCAAAUAAAUCAUCUUAUGUCGACAUUCCUUAUUGGUUCCAUUAUGUUCCAGACAUGAUAUAAUCGAUUGAGAUUCAUUAUUAUCAUGACCUUUAAUACUUUGCAUCUUGGCAUCCCAAGCUACAUUGUUUGGUACCUGUGCCUUAGAGCCGGCCGGCCUUAUCUCCAUGUUUGGAAUGGUUUCCUUAGUAACCUCAGAUUUAGAUUUUGAUUAUCAUUCUCUGCACCUUUCUUUUAUUUCCGAGGAUUCUUAUCUUUUGGAACCUAUUGGUCUACAACGUUUCAUACGUUGUUUAGACACUGUAGCAACUUGACUGUGUCUCUUCUUGGACAUCAAAUUCGUUGGUGCUUUACAAGCUGGUUUAUAUAUGACUUAGUCAUUCUUUUUCGGGUCAGCAAAUGUGUCUGGCAUUUGAUUAGCUAGCUUUGUAAAUGUAUAAUCUUUGGACGUCUAUUUCACAUUCUUUAGUCCGAGGAUCUUGCCAAGANNNNNNNNNNNNNNNNNNNNNNNNNNNNNNNNNNNNNNNNNNNNNNNNNNNNNNNNNNNNNNNNNNNNNNNNNNNNNNNNNNNNNNNNNNNNNNNNNNNNNNNNNNNNNNNNNNNNNNNNNNNNNNNNNNNNNNNNNNNNNNNNNNNNNNNNNNNNNNNNNNNNNNNNNNNNNNNNNNNNNNNNNNNNNNNNNNNNNNNNNNNNNNNNNNNNNNNNNNNNNNNNNNNNNNNNNNNNNNNNNNNNNNNNNNNNNNNNNNNNNNNNNNNNNNNNNNNNNNNNNNNNNNNNNNNNNNNNNNNNNNNNNNNNNNNNNNNNNNNNNNNNNNNNNNNNNNNNNNNNNNNNNNNNNNNNNNNNNNNNNNNNNNNNNNNNNNNNNNNNNNNNNNNNNNNNNNNNNNNNNNNNNNNNNNNNNNNNNNNNNNNNNNNNNNNNNNNNNNNNNNNNNNNNNNNNNNNNNNNNNNNNNNNNNNNNNNNNNNNNNNNNNNNNNNNNNNNNNNUUCCUCCAAUCAAAUAGGGCCUUUGGUAAUAACACUGUUCUUUGGUGAUCAUAUCUCAAUUUUUAACUCUGUCCAAAGGUCUAGAGGAUUCUCUAUAGUCAGAUACUGAUCUUUGAAACUCUUAAUAAGACGAUGGCUAAUAAUAAAUAUUUCCAUGUAUCAAUCUUUCUCAUUGGCAUUAUUGCCUUCUAUGAUACAUUCACCAAGUCUUUUUGACUUUGGGAUAAUCUUUGUAUCCAAUGCCCACCGUAAAUAAUUAUCUCCAGAGAGAUUUAGGGCAGCAAAAUCCAGGUUGAUUUUCGACAUCUCAAAUCAUAUAUCACUCAAUAUUUAGGUAUAAUUUUCAUGCGGCCUUACUCUUAAAAACAAUCAAUUCGGAUUUCAAUCUUGUGAGGACAAUGAGACUAUCAAUCUUAAAGACAUUUAAUCAAUCAGACAAUUUCUAGCAAGUCUCAGCAAUACUAUUUCUUUGUGCUCAUAAUAUUAUGGUUUAUCAAGACUAGCAAAAACGGAUUCAAUUAAUCAUGCAAUUUGGGUUUAACAAUCAAUGGAUUUUAGCAAGACUAGUAAAAAGAUUUAUUAAUCACUCAAUCAGUUUCAAUGCUGAUUUUAGAAAUACUAGAAUAUAAAUUUCAAGCAUGAAUUUCAAUGAAUCAGUUUCAAGGCUGAUUGGUAUUUAGCAUAAACCAUGUGUAAAUAAUUUAUCUAGUAUCCGAAUUUAUCAAACCUCAAAAACAUAUAAUCAGAUCAAUCAAUUUAAUCGAACUUAGCAUACAAUCUUAAACCUCAAGACAUUAGAUUUUAUCAUGAAUCUAUCAACCUAGCAUACGGAUUCUCAAUUCUCAAAGACAUCCAAAUCAGAUCAAUAUAACCUAUCAUACAGAUUAUUUAGGGUUUCUAUUUAAAACAGAUCAGAUUACAAAACUAUCAAUCCUAGCAGAUAAUAUUAAACCUAAAGAAUCAUACAAUCAGAUCAUUCGGAUUUUAAAAAAGUAAACCUUAAUCAAUCUAUCAACCUAUCGGAUUAUAUAAGCAAAGGAAGCUAGCAACCUAUCGGAUUCAAUCAGUGUUUUAACAGGCUGAUCGGUUUAAACAAUUUUAAAUCAGAUGAACAAUUAACCAAGCAGGAUGAGAAAAUAAAUCUAUCAAUUUAACGGUCAAACAAUUCUAGCAACAUAGCAUCAGAUUCAAUCAGAUUUAAAACCUCAAUGAUCAAAACCGAAAACAGUUUUGAUUUCAAAAUAUUCGAUUAGGGUUUUAAUAUGUGAUUUGAUAAUUAUAGUAUAAUUAAUUCUGAUACUUAUAUUAUUUAGGGUUUAUAGAUAUAGGGUUAGGGUUUAUCGGAUUUUAACUUGUAAAAACCGAUUUGGGGUUUUAAUCAUGUAGGAACAUGAUUUAGGGUUUGGGGUAUCGAACUUUUAGAGCUUCGAUUUACUCAAUUAGGAUUUUUGAUCUAUUACCCUAUGGUUUUGAUUCAUAAAGAUUAGGGUUUUAGGGUUUCAUUCUUUAUCAAUCAAUCCAUGUUCGAUUAUGGGUUCUUAGGUUUUGAAUUACCUUUUAACCUUAGAUGAUUGUUGAAUCGGACCACCAAAGGAGUUGAGCCGCGAGCUGGACACGAACGGGACGCGAGCUGGAAUGGAUCGAGUCGCUUCUAUCGGGUCGCGGACGUCCUUUGUUGCUUGAUCGGGAACGCCUUGAUCGUCGGACGCGAGCUGUCUGAUGCUGUCGCGAACGAGGAAGAGGUCGCGUGCUGGAGCUGCUCUCGGGUCGCGAACGUCUGAGCUAGGAUCAGGAACGCCUUGGGCUGAAGCUGAUCGGGGACGCGAGCUGGAACAGAUGCGGGAACAAGAGACGCGAUCGGAGUUUAGGGUUCGUCGGAUCGCCGACUAGGGUUAGGGUUUUAGGGUUUUUCGAUUUUGGUAUUAGCUUAGGGAUUUAAAGUUUCGUGCUGAUAACGUGUUAUAAAAGUAAUGGAAAAGUCUAUCUUUAUUCAUAACAUAGAGGUUCCUUAUAUAGGAGAUUACACCGUCAUAGAUAAUUGGAAAGAUUACAAAUCAUAAUUUCUUGGUUAUGAGCCAUCCACGAUCUGGUUCAUAACCAGAGUUAAUUUGUUUGAAGCUGGAUGACAUACAGAUUAACAACAUUGAUAUUUUUAUCUGGGAGUACAUCUUAUUUUAUUUAAAAACUUGAAAUAUUCGAUACUUUUACUGGAAUAAUCCAAAUUAUCCACCUUUUGUACUUUUACGAGACAUUGUAUUUUUCAUAAUUUUAUCGUUUCGUACUUUGAUUGUUCGUCGCAUUAGAACCUCAGUUGGGUCAAAGCAUGACGUGUUUCUUUCGCUAUCCAAGUUUUUCAAUAUUAAAUAUAUUCAUGAUGAGUCUAAGGUUUUGGAACAAGAACGUUGUAACACCCGUAUUUUCCGAAAUAAUUUAAUGAAUAAUAAAUCUAAAAUCUCCAUUUAUUACUUCUCAAAAGUCAAUUCCAAAAUCGUAAAUCCAAUAAAUGGCAAUCCAAAUAAUAUAAUAAAUCUUGAAGAUAUCGAUAAAAUUAUAAAAACCGCAAGUCUAAAAAUGAAAGAAAUAAAACUCCCAAAGCACCAAUCCGAUAGCAAUCACUCCUGCUCGUUAGUCUCACCUGAAAGGGGGAAAGAAGAAGGGGUGAGUAACAAGGGAGUUACUCCGUGAGGUAUGAGAUGCUAAACCACAAACCACUGAUUCAGUACAUAGCACUACGACUUUGUAAGCCUAGCUCUAGCAUGAAACAAACACGGUGUCUAAUACACCGCAUAAAACAUCAAAUGCGCUGAUAGUGCAUAACUAGAUCACACACCCGGCAUUCUCCUUAUACGGAUAUAAAUAUAUAACUCUAUGCGACGCUAGUACAAGAGUCCAUCCUUGUACCCCGCAAUCACCUAUGCGCCGCUAGUACAAACAUCUUUGUACCCCGCAAUCUCCAUACAAUGCGCCGCUAGCAUAGACGUCCAUAUGCCCCGCAAUCUCCAUACAAUGCGCCGCUAACACAAACGUCUUUGUGUCCCGCAAUCUCGACACAAUGCAUCGUUAGCACAACAUCUUUGUGCCCCGUAAUCUCAUAACAGACUUAUGUAUACAUAUAUAAAUAACAGUCUUUAAUUCAUUCAAUUCAGUCAACCGUUGAAUCCUCUAUUAUCCUAUUUCCGGUUUAACAAUCAAUAGUAAUAAUAAACAAACAAGACUCUCAAACAGACUCAAUUCACAGACACAGAUCAUGUUUCGAAACUAAGCUUUCAAUAAUAGUAGUACAAAACUAGCUUGUGAUUUAAUGGGAUAACCCUCACCUUAACCAUAACGGAAAACCAGAAACGGAUCCGACAAUAAACAAGAUGACUUGAUCAACAAGAAAGCUAAGGUUUCACCAUAGAUCUCAAUCUCGAUCUCGUCAACGACACACCAGAGCGGAAAAGAAUAGAAGCAAAACAAUAAGACAUGAUUAAAAUAUAUUUAAUUUAGGAUUUAAGAAACUUGCAACACAAGAAAUUAAUAUAGUUUCUUUUAACCUUCACGGCUUGGAAUCAUAGUGGCAGAUCCCAGCCCCAAAAGUGCAUGGUCCUCUCCGAUGACUCACAGUUGAUGAUAACAGCUGGUCGGAUUGAAACGGUGGCCCCGGUCGUGGUGAUCCGUGCCGAUGGUGUCAAGAUGCGAUGACUCCUGCUCGUACGUCUUCCUCAAUGCACUAACGUAUCAGCAACCAUAGAAGAAAGAUAACUUGAGGGAGGAGAUGAAGGAGGAGCACGUGUGUGGAGGUGGAGAGGAAGAGAGAUAAUCAAAGGAGAUGAUAGCAAUGACGGCUCCACUCUCGACAAAUCUCUACUAAUAAAAGGGACCUUUCGAGACUCCUUAGAGCGUCCACAUCAGCCGAAAAAAACUUAUUCCUAAAGAUGACACAUGGCAUAAAAUAUAGUUUUACAUUUUAAUAUUACUAAUUUUCGAAAAUUAUAAAUAAUAUGUAAACAUACAGCAUAAAAAAUGAAAAAAUUACAUUAAACAUAUGUAAGAUUACCAUUUUUCACUUGAAAAAAGACGGCUUAUCUCCGUAAUGUAGCAUUACCGUUUUAUAAAAAAAAUAAAAAAUAUUAUAUAUAAUUUCGAAAAUAAUAAAUAUAUGUAAACAUACAACAAAAAAAAUAGAAAUACUACAUUAAACAUAUGUAAGAUUACCAUUUUACAUUUUUAUUUUUAAAAAAUAAUAUGUAAACAUACAACAUAAAAAAAAAGGAACCUUUUGAGGCUCCAUAGAGCGUCCACAUCAGCAAAAAAACUUCUUCCGAAAGAUGACACGUGGCAUAAAAUAUAGUUUUACAUUUUAAUAUUACUAAUUUUCAAAAAUUAUAAAUAAUAUGUAAACAUACAGCAUAAAAAAUGAAAAAACUACAUUAAACAUAUGAAAAAUUACCAUUUUUCACUUAAAAAAAAGACGGCUUAUCCAAGUAAUGAAUAUCUUGGAUUGAUUUUCAAAAAAAUGAAAAAACUACAUUAAACAUAUGAAAAAUUACCAUUUUUCACUUAAAAAAAAGACGGCUUAUCUUCAUAAUGUAACAUUACCGUUUUAUAAAAAAAACAAAAAACAUUAUAUAUAAUUUCGAAAAUAAUAAAUAUAUGUAAACAUACAACAUAAAAUAUGGAAAUACUACAUUAAACAUAUGUAAGAUUACCAUUUUACAUUUUUAUUUUUAAAAAAUAAUAUGCAAACAUACAACAUAAAAAAUGGAAAAACUACAUUAAGCAUAUGUAAGAUUACCAUUUUUCACUAAAAAAAAGACGGCUUAUUUCCAUAAUGUAACAUUACUAUUUUGUAAAAAAAAAACAUUAUAUAUAAUUUCGAAAAUAAUAAAUAAUAUGUAAACAUACAGCAUAAAAAAAGGAAAUACUACAUUAAACAUAUGUAAGAUUAUCAUUUUACAUUAAAAAUAACAAUAAUAUAUAAACAUACAACAUAAAAAAAAGGAAAAACUAUAUUAAACAUAUGUAAGAUUACCGUUUUUCACUAAAAAAAAGGCUUAUCUCCAUAAUGUAACAUUACCAUUUUAUAAAAAAAAAACAUAAAUAUAACUAUUUGACUAUUUGUCCAAGUUCUUGUAUUAAACAUUUGCCGUUUUACAUUAAAAAUGAAAAAAACAUUAAGAUUUAAACAUUUAUCUUAAAAUAUAAAAUAUAGAUAUUAACUAAAUAUAAAGUAUAAGAAAGAGAAAUACUCAAUAUAUAGAAAAAUAAAUAAUAAGUAAAUAUUAUAAAUAUAUAAAUAUAUGAAUUAUAUAUACAAUAAUAAGUAAAUGCACAAUUUUUAAAAUAUGGAAAGAGUACAUUAAAUAUUAAACAUAUAGAUAUUAAGUAAAUAGAAAGUAUAAAAAAAAAGAAAUACACAACUUAAAAAAAAUAGAAAAAGUAUAUUAAUAUUUAAACAUCUAUCUUAAAAUGUAAAAUAUAGACAUUACGCAAAUAGAAAGUAUAAGAAAAGGAAAUACACAAUUUAAAAAAAUGAAAAAAGUACAUUAGUAUUUAAACAUCUAUCUUAAAAUGUAAAUCUAUCUUAAAAUAUAAAAUUAUUUGUAAAUAGAAAGUAUAAGAAAUAGAAAUACACAUUAUAAAGAAAAAUAAAUAAUAAGUAAAUAUAUGAUAUAAGUAAAUACGCAAUUUAAAAAUGGAAAAUUACAUUAAGAUUUAAAAAUAUAUCUUAAAAUUUAAAAUAUAGAUAUUACGUAAAUAGAAAGUAUAACAAAUGGAAAUAUACAAUUUAAAGAAAAUGGAAAAUGUACAUUAAGAUUUAAACAUCUAUCUUAAAAUGUAAAAUAGAGAUAUUAAGUAAAUAAAAAGUACAUGAAAUGGAAAUACAUAUACAGAAAAAUAAAUAAUAAGUAAAUAAUAUAAAUAUAUAAUAUAUGAAUUAUAUAUAAUAAUAAGUAAAUGAACAAUUUUUUUUAAAAAAUGGAAAAAGUUCAUUAAGCAUUAAACAUCUAUCUUAAAAUGUAAAAUAUAUAAUAUAAGUAAAUACACAAUUUAAAAAAAUGGAAAAAGUACAUUAAGAUUUAAAUAUCUAUUUUAAAAUAUAAAAUAUAGAUAUUACGUAAAUAAAAAAUAUAAGAAAUGGAAAUAAACAUUUAAAAAAAUGGAAAAAGUACAUUAUGAUUUAAACAUCUAUCUUAAAAUAUACAUAUAUCUUAAAAUGGUAGUAAAUUGUAUAAAAAUGGAAAUACCACAUUAAACAAAAAAAAAUGUAUAGUUUUACAUCAAGAAAGUCCCUAUAAAAUUCAUUAUUCCAUCAACAUCAACCUCACACUAUCAAGGAAAACUUCAAAGCACUCGAGCAAAAAAAUGGUUCCACCAUCAACUAUUGCCGUCCCAAAAACCUUUAAUGACCUUGAAGGAGAUUUUUUAUAACAACGAACUUUUUGUUAUGUGAAUUCAUUGUUGGGAAACCCGCAACUUCUAAAAGCCAAACUUAUUCAUGAGAAUUGAAUUGCUUUUCAUAGACUCAAAGGUAUUGUUACAAAUUUAAAUUAAUCUAAUCCAUAAUUUUAUUGUUAAUAUUCAUACUAACUCUUUCAUGAUCAAACCAUUACAGUUAAUAACCAUUCAAGCGUUUAUCCCGAAACACUUCUUUCCACGCCGAAUCAGGUAUUGGUUCAUAUUGGUUUAGUAUUGUUUUUGGUUUAUUAACCGGUUUAGGAUGGUCCUAUUGUAAAUAUAAUUUAAGUUGGUUUAGCAUAUAUUAUGCAUAAAAUAAAUUAAAUUCAAUAAUAGUAAUAUUAUGCUUAAAAUAUAAUUUUAGAGAGUUUUCAAAUAUAGUUUACAGAACAUUAUAGGUGAUGAAUUUAAUUUAUUAAUUUCGUUUAUUACUUAAAACUAAGUUUUUAAAAAAAAAACAUAUUGAGUUAUAAAUAUCAAUGCUGGAUUGGUGAGUAUAACAUGAAGACAAAAAUAUAAAUAUUUCAUUUUCAAGAUAAGAAAUUCAGCUUUUAUUCAGUUACUCAAUAUAUAAUAGCUUAAAUUAUUUUUUAUAAAAAUAUACAUAAUUUAUAUAUAUAUAGAUUAAUCUUCCAAACUUAAACUAUUAUAUUAUUUAUGAAUAUUUUUUUAAAAUAAAAAUAAUUUCUGAUUUAAAAAAAAAUAAAAACAACAAAUGGUUAUUUUCAAAUAAUGGAUGUAAUUUACAUUAUACUAUCAUUUAACAAGUAUUAGAUACGUUUUGAUAUAUCAUUAUUUUCUAUUUCCAGAAAAAAAUAAAUUGUUAAAUAUCAAUAUCAUCUAGGUUAAGUAUACUAACAUCACAAAUUCAAACAUCACAAAAAAUAUUCACAUAAACAUUAUAAUACAAUAAUUUAAUCAAAAAAUACAAUUCAAAAAAACAAUAUUCAAAAGAAUAGUUAUAUACUUAAUAUUUGAAAAUCAAAGAUAUUUUUGCUAAAAUUGUACUUACCUGGCCAAGGAGAUCGACCAUCUUUUUACGGAUCGAUCGAUUGUUGAGCAUGUGGUCGAUCCGAAAAUACUCUGCAGUUUAAUUAAAUAUCUAAAACAUUUAUUCCAACACUCAACAGAUAGUUUUGCUAAAUAUGAUAACUAGAUAGCCAACAAAAUUACAAAAGAAUAUAUUUAAAUAGUAAAAAAUAUGUUAAUUUAACGUGUUAAAAUUUGAAAAUAAAUUUUAAUUAUGACAUGCAUUUUAACAUUGUUGGGAAACCCGCAACUUCCAAAAGCCAAACUUAUUCAUGGGAAUUGAAUUGAUUUUCAUAGACUCAAAGGUAUUGUUACAAAUUUAAAUUAAUCUAAUCCAUAAUUUUAUUGUUAAUAUUCAUACUAACUCUUUCAUGAUCAAACCAUUACAGUUAAUAACCAUUCAAGCGUUUAUCCCGAAACACUUCUUUCCACGCCGAAUCAGGUAUUGGUUCAUAUUGGUUUAGUAUUGUUUUUGGUUUAUUAACCGGUUUAGGAUGGUCCUAUUGUAAAUAUAAUUUAAGUUGGUUUAGCAUAUAUUAUGCAUAAAAUAAAAUAAAUUAAAUAAUAGUAAUAUUAUGCUUAAAAUAUAAUUUUAGAGAGUUUUCAAAUAUAGUUUACAGAACAUUAUAGGUGAUGAAUUUAAUUUAUUAAAUUCGUUUAUUACUUAAAACUAAGUUUUUUUAAAAACAUACUGAGUUAUAAAUAUCAAUACUGGAUUGGUGAGUAUAACAUGAAGACAAAAAUAUAAAUAUUUCAUUUUCAAGAUAAGAAAUUCAGCUUUUAUUCAGUUACUCAAUAUAUAAUAUCUUAAAUUAUUUUUUAAAAAAUAUACAUAAUUUAUAUAUAUAGAUUAAUCUUCUAAACUUAAACUAUUAUAUUAUAUAUGAAUAAUUUUUUUAAAUAAAAAUAAUUUCUGAUUUAAAAAAAAAAUAAAAACAACAAAUGGUUAUUUUCAAAUAAUGGAUAUAAUUUACAUUAUACUAUCAUUUAACAAGUAUUAGAUACGUUUUGAUAUAUCAUUAUUUUCUAUUUCUAGAAAAAAAUAAAUUGUUAAACAUCAAUAUCAUCUAGGUUAAGUAUACUAACAUCACAAAUUCAAACAUCACAAUAAAUAUUCACAUAAACAUUAUAAUACAAUAAUUUAAUCAAAAAAUACAAUUCAAAAAAACAAUAUUCAAAAGAAUAGUUAUAUACUUAAUAUUUGAAAAUCAAAGAUAUUUUUGCUAAAAUUGUACUUACCUGGCCAAGGAGAUCGACCAUCUUUUUACGGAUCGAUCGAUUGUUGAGCAUGUGGUCGAUCCGAAAAUACUCUACAGUUUAAUUAAAUAUCUAAAACAUUUAUUCCAACACUCAACAAAUAGUUUUGCUAAAUAUGAUAACUAGAUAGCCAACAAAAUUAUAAAAAAAAUAUUUAAAUAGUAAAAAAUAUGUUAAUUUAACGUGUUAAAAUUUGAAAAUAAAUUUUAAUUAUGACAUGCAUUUUAAAAUUUAUAUAAAUAUAUAUCAUAACCUAAAUAUAAAUAAUUUAACAACUUAAAUUAGAAAAAAAUAAAAAUUCCGAGCGUAGCCCGGGUUAAUCCCUAGUAAAUAAAAAGAAUAAGGUUUUGAUUCCUUUUAAAUACACACACGCACAAUAAGAAGGAUAUGUAUUUGGUUUAGGAGAUGGUUUGGUUGAAUCCAAAUUAAUUAAAGAAAAAAAAUCAGACCAAUCGGCUAAAGAAACCGGGUCGUUACAAAGGUAUGAAGCAAAAAAACUCAAAUAUUUUUAAAAACAAUCGAUCCCCUAGACUAUAUUUGCGAAAUGAUUUUGCCACACGUCUUUUCUACUAUCAAUUUCACAAAAAAAAUAUGACAUGACAAUUGAAAUUGAUGACAUGUCUUAUAGCUUAAUAUGACAUGGACAAUUGCAUUUAAUGUUAAUUUAUAUUUUUGGUAAACUUUUUAAAAUAUGGUAAUAAUUCAUAUAUUACAUUUAAUGUCAAUUUAUAUUGGGCAAAUCUCCAAAAUAGCACAUUUCUAAGUUUAUAUCACAAAAAUAACACUUCAAAACUAAAAUGACCAAAAUAGCACAUUUCUAAGUUUAUCCUUUGAAAAUUUUAAUUUUUUUAUUUUUCAAAAUUUGAAAUCUUAUCCCCAAAACCUCAUUUCUCAACUCUAAACCCUAAACCCUAAACUCUAAACCGUAAAUCCUAAACUCUAAACCCUAAACCCUAAACCCUAAACCCUAAAUUCUAAACCCUAAACCCUAAAUUCUAAACCCUAAACCCUAGACCCUAAACCCUAAACCCUAAUCUAUAAACCCUAAACUCUAAACCAUAAACCCUAAACCCUAAAUCCUAAACCCCACCCUUUAACUUUAAACCCUAAGUUUGUGACUUUUAAUAAAACAUUAAGUGCUAUUUUUGUGAUUUUUGACCUUGAGUGCUAGUUUGGGAACAAAAACUUGAUUUAGUGCUAUUUUUGUCUUUUUCUCAUUUAUAUUUUAGGAAUUUUUUUUAGAAUAUGGGAAUAACUCAAAACUCAUCAUUAAAAUAAAUAUAUUCAAAUAUGGCAUUAUAAAUUUUGAAAUAUAAUUUAAUUAUAUAUUUUUUAAAUUAUACAAUUUUAUUACUAAAAUUUUCAAAAAUGUAUACAUUUUUUUUAGAAAAUAAUAAAAAUUUAAUUGUAAAAUCAUUAUUUUCUUAUAUGUCUACAAAUUUUAUAAAUGGCAAAUCUCCAAAAUAGCACCUUUCUAAUUUUAUAUCACAAAAAUAGCACUCAAAAACUAAAAUGACCAAAAUAGCACAUUUCUAAGUAUAUCCUUUGAAAAUUUUAAUUUUUUUAUUUUUCAAAAUUUGAAAUCUUAUCCCCAAAACCUCAUUUCUCAACUCUAAACUCUAAACCCUAAACCCUAAACCCUAAACCCUAAACCCUAAAUCCUAAACUCUAAACCCUAAACCCUAAACUCUAAACCCUAAAUCCUAAACCCUAAACCCUAAACUCUAAACCCUAAACCCUAAACUCUAAAC
rnacentral:lncRNA from 1 species